GGAGAAAAGUAGGGGAUCGCAAGACCUUGCGCUAAAGGAGCGGCCGAUGUCUGAUUAGCUAGUUGGUGAGGUAAAGGCUUACCGAGGCAACGAUCAGUAGUUGGUCUGAGAGGACGGCCAACCACACUGGGACUGAGACACGGCCCAGACUCCUACGGGAGGCAGCAGUGGGGAAUUUUGGACAAUGGGCGAAAGCCUGAUCCAGCCAUGCCGCGUGAGUGAAGAAGGCCUUCGGGUUGUAAAGCUCUUUUAGUCGGAAAGAAAGAGUUGCAAUGAAUAAUUGUGAUUUAUGACGGUACCGACAGAAAAAGCACCGGCUAACUACGUGCCAGCAGCCGCGGUAAUACGUAGGGUGCGAGCGUUAAUCGGAAUUACUGGGCGUAAAGGGUGCGCAGGCGGUUUUGCAAGUCAGAUGUGAAAGCCCCGGGCUUAACCUGGGAAUUGCGUUUGAAACUACAAAGCUAGA
rnacentral:rRNA from 1 species